rnacentral:rRNA from 1 species
AUUGAACGCUGGCGGCAGGCCUAACACAUGCAAGUCGAGCGGAGCGGCGGACGGGUGAGUAAUGACUAGGAAUCUGCCUGGUAGUGGGGGAUAACGUCAGGAAACGGGCGCUAAUACCGCAUACUAUCAGAUGAGAAUAUGUCGGAUUAGCUUGUUGUUGGGGGAAGGGCCAACCAAGGCGACGAUCCGUAACUGGUCUGAGAGGUUGAUCAGUUACACUGUAACUAAGACACGUUCCAGACUCCUACGGGAGGCAGCAGUGGGGAAUAUUGUACAAUGGGCGAAAGCCUGAUCCAGCCAUGCCGCGUGUGUGAAGAAGGUCUUCGGAUUGUAAAGCACUUUAAGUUGGGAGGCGUUACCAACAGAAUAAGCACCGGCUAACUUCGUGCCAGCAGCCGCGGUAAUAC